GAUGAACGCUGGCGGCGUGCCUAAUACAUGCAAGUCGAGCGAACGGACGAGAAGCUUGCUUCUCUGAUGUUAGCGGCGGACGGGUGAGUAACACGUGGAUAACCUACCCAUAAGACUGGGAUAACUUCGGGAAACCGUAGCUAAUACCGGAUAAUAUUUUGAACCGCAUGGUUCAAAAGUGAAAGAGGGUCUUGCUGUCACUUAUAGAUGGAUCCGCGCUGCAUUAGCUAGUUGGUAAGGUAACGGCUUACCAAGGCAACGAUGCAUAGCCGACCUGAGAGGGGGAUCGGCCACACUGGAACUGAGACACGGUCCAGACUCCUACGGGAGGCAGCAGUAGGGAAUCUUCCGCAAUGGGCGAAAGCCUGACGGAGCAACGCCGCGUGAGUGAUGAAGGUCUUCGGAUCGUAAAACUCUGUUAUUAGGGAAGAACAUAUGUGUAAGUAACUGUGCACAUCUUGACGGUACCUAAUCAGAAAGCCACGGCUAACUACGUG
rnacentral:rRNA from 1 species